rnacentral:rRNA from 1 species
UGGGGAAUCUUGCACAAUGGGGGAAACCCUGAUGCAGCGACGCCGCGUGAACGAUGAAGCCCUUCGGGGUGUAAAGUUCUUUCGACAGGAACGAUAAUGACGGUACCUGGAGAGGAAGCUGCGGCUAACUACGUGCCAGCAGCCGCGGUAAUACGUAGGCAGCGAGCGUUGUUCGGAGUUACUGGGCGUAAAGAGUGCGUAGGCGGCGAGCCAAGUUUGGUGUGAAAUCUCCCGGCUUAACCGGGAGGGUGCGCCGAAAACUGGUUGGCUGGAGUAUGGGAGAGGAAAGCGGAAUUCCUGGUGUAGCGGUGAAAUGCGUAGAUAUCAGGAGGAACACCUGCGGUGUAGACAGCUUUCUGGACCAAAACUGACGCUGAGGCACGAAAGCGUGGGUAGCAAACA